rnacentral:rRNA from 1 species
AUACGUAGGUGACAAGCGUUAUCCGGAUUUACUGGGCGUAAAGGGCGUGUAGGCGGUCUUGCAAGUCAGAAGUGAAAUUCCUGAGCUCAACUCGGGCGCUGCUUCUGAAACUGCAGGACUUGAGUGCUGGAGGGGAUAGCGGAAUUCCUAGUGGAGCGGUAAAAUGCGCAGAUAUUAGGAAGAACACCGGUGGCGAAGGCGGCUAUCUGGACAGUAGCUGACGCUGAGGCGCGAAAGCGUGGGGAGCAAACAGGAUUAGAUACCCUGGUAGUCCACGUUGUAAACGAUGAAUACUAGGUGUGGGGGGACUGACCCCCUCCGUGCCGCAGUUAACACAAUAAGUAUUCCACCUGGGGAGUACGAUCGCAAGAUUGAAACUUAAAGGAAUUGACGGGG